GAUCUAAAUUAAGUUCUUAGUUGUUCUGCUUUUUUUAUGAGUUGCUAAAGGAUGAUGUGGAAAUACCCUUGAAAAGAGUCAGUGAGCUGAAACCAAAAACUGUUUCUGCUGAUCUCCCUCUGUCUCUCCCCUCCUGCAUCUAAGGGAAGGUCUAGUCUAAUAUUGCAUGGUGGUUAGGACCAGUAUUGCCUCUACAGUCCAAAUAAUUUUCUUUUUUUCCUCUGCUACCACUUCCUAAGGACACUGCCAAAGCUGCUUGGACUCCAGACAGCAGAGUCAGGUCUCAAUUAAACCCUAACGUGGUGGCUGGGAGGAAAAGCAAACAACACUCCCUGAUGGAGCCAGGCUCUGUGGAGGUGAAGGGUUGUGGUGAUCAAAGGGGCAGCUUGGAAAAGGCCAAACUGGGACUGCAGUGAUCUCAAACCAAAGGAGCAGCCUCACCUCCAUCUCCCAGACCUGGCUCUGCAGCUGAAGGCAUCUCAUUUCCAGUUCUUCUGUGGUGGAUGAGCCAAAAGCAUCUGUAAGAGAAAAAUCUGAUGUUUCUAUGUAGAUGCUCAAAGUAGAGCUGGGGGAUGACCUGUGUCAGACAGGGCAGCACCUGGCUGUGCUCAGUGAGCUCACACCCCUGGGACACAGGGGCUGGAGGUGACAAUUCACCCUGCAGUGGUUUGAUAACAGUGCUGACAGAAUGAAAGACAGCUGUGAACAA